CCUACGGGAGGCAGCAGUGGGGAAUAUUGCACAAUGGGGGAAACCCUGAUGCAGCAACGCCGCGUGAGUGAAGAAGUAUUUCGGUAUGUAAAGCUCUAUCAGCAGGGAAGAAGAUGACGGUACCUGACUAAGAAGCCCCGGCUAACUACGUGCCAGCAGCCGCGGUAAUACGUAGGGGGCAAGCGUUAUCCGGAUUUACUGGGUGUAAAGGGAGCGCAGACGGCAGUGCAAGUCUGGAGUGAAAGCCCGGGGCCCAACCCCGGAACUGCUCUGGAAACUGGGCGGCUAGAGUACGGGAGGGGCAGGCGGAAUUCCUAGUGUAGCGGUGAAAUGCGUAGAUAUUAGGAGGAACACCAGUGGCGAAGGCGGCCUGCUGGACAGUAACUGACGUUGAGGCUCGAAAGCGUGGGGAGCAAACAGGAUUAGAUACCCGAGUAGUC
rnacentral:rRNA from 1 species